UACGUAGGGUGCGAGCGUUGUCCGGAAUUAUUGGGCGUAAAGAGCUUGUAGGCGGUCUGUCGCGUCUGCUGUGAAAAUCCGGGGCUCAACCCCGGACUUGCAGUGGGUACGGGCAGACUAGAGUGUGGUAGGGGGAGACUGGAAUUCCUGGUGUAGCGGUGAAAUGCGCAGAUAUCAGGAGGAACACCAGUGGCGAAGGCGGUUCUCUGGGC
rnacentral:rRNA from 1 species